AUGAGCUGCAGUUUGUCAGAGAUCAGCUGUUCUGCUCUGGCCUCAGCUCUGAAGUCCAACAUCCAUCUGAGAGAGCUGGACCUGAGACUCAACGAUCUGAAGGCUUCAGAUGUGAAGCUGCUGAGAGAUCUUCUGGAGAGUCCAGACUGCAGACUGGAGACCCUCAGGAUCACAGGAGAGCCGUUCAGAGCCAAGAUCCAGAAGACCUGUGACAGAGUUUGGACUUUGGAGAGACAGCUAACGGACAAACUCAAGGAACUGAAAGACACUCCCUAACAGGCCGUAUGCUGUGUAGCUUUACCUUGGAUGACUCAGUGCAGUGUUCUGUGCAGGUUGUUGGUUUGCUCUUCCAACUCAAGGAGCUCAAAGACUGAUUGGAAGUUGACAUUUCUGAUUUCUGAUUCAAUGUGAAGGAAAAUUCACCUUUGAGUUGAUACAGUAUGUGUGUGCAUAUAAUGCCCCCUUUGGCCUAACCUGGGAGAGCCUUCUGUUCACUGCCAACCUAAGGAGCUCACACAUGUUAAUCAAGAAUGUAUUAUUAUUGGCUCAGCCAGGUUUUACGGGUCUACUUACAGACGGGUCACUCAUUUUGAAAUUAUUUUAUUUUUCUUUAAUUUUUCAUCCUCGUGUAGAAUGCUAUCACGAAACACACAUUUGGAUUAUAGCACAAAGAACAUCUGAUUUAAUGUGAGGUAGGGAAAUAAUCAUUUGAGUAAGCAGCUUGAAAAUGCACCUUGAAAAUGCUUGAAAAGUGCUUGAAUUUGAAUCCUGCAUCUUUUAUACCUUGCCCUUUUGUUUGCCCUGUUUUCGAAGUCGCCCUCUUGCUACUUAAAAAAGCGCUUUUGGUCCAGCUAAUGUCCCUCUGCAUGCUAACUGUACGGGGCUGUAUUUUAGUUGUUAUUAGAUUCAUAACAAAUAAAUCCUGAAAGCUGAA